rnacentral:rRNA from 1 species
AACGAACGCUGGCGGCAGGCCUAACACAUGCAAGUCGAGCGAAGCCUUCGGGCUUAGCGGCGGACGGGUGAGUAACGCGUGGGAACGUGCCCUUUGGUACGGAAUAGCCCCGGGAAACUGGGAGUAAUACCGUAUGUGGUCGAGAGACGAAAGAUUUAUCGCCAAAGGAUCGGCCCGCGUUGGAUUAGGUAGUUGGUGGGGUAAUGGCCUACCAAGCCGACGAUCCAUAGCUGGUUUGAGAGGAUGAUCAGCCACACUGGGACUGAGGCACGGCCCAGACUCCUACGGGAGGCAGCAGUGGGGAAUCUUAGACAAUGGGGGAAACCCUGAUCUAGCCAUGCCGCGUGAUCGAUGAAGGCCUUAGGGUUGUAAAGAUCUUUCAGUGGGGAAGAUAAUGACUGUACCCACAGAAGAAGCCCCGGCUAACUCCGUGCCAGCCGCCGCAGUAACAC